CAGCAGCCGCGGUAAUGCGGAGGGUGCAAGCGUUAAUCGGAAUUACUGGGCGUAAAGCGUACGCAGGCGGUUUGUUAAGUCAGAUGUGAAAUCCCCGAGCUUAACUUGGGAACUGCAUUUGAAACUGGCAGGCUAGAGUCUCGUAGAGGGGGGUAGAAUUCCAGGUGUAGCGGUGAAAUGCGUAGAGAUCUGGAGGAAUACCGGUGGCGAAGGCGGCCCCCUGGACAAAGACUGACGCUCAGGUGCGAAAGCGUGGGGAGCAAACAGGAUUAGAUACCCCUGUAGUCCCUGUCUCUUAUAA
rnacentral:rRNA from 1 species